UGGCAAAGUCGAGCGGUAGCACAGAGAGCUUGCUCUCGGGUGACGAGCGGCGGACGGGUGAGUAAUGUCUGGGAAACUGCCUGAUGGAGGGGGAUAACUACUGGAAACGGUAGCUAAUACCGCAUAACGUCGCAAGACCAAAGUGGGGGACCUUCGGGCCUCAUGCCAUCAGAUGUGCCCAGAUGGGAUUAGCUAGUAGGUGGGGUAACGGCUCACCUAGGCGACGAUCCCUAGCUGGUCUGAGAGGAUGACCAGCCACACUGGAACUGAGACACGGUCCAGACUCCUACGGGAGGCAGCAGUGGGGAAUAUUGCACAAUGGGCGCAAGCCUGAUGCAGCCAUGCCGCGUGUGUGAAGAAGGCCUUCGGGUUGUAAAGCACUUUCAGCGGGGAGGAAGGCGAUGAGGUUAAUAACCUUGUCGAUUGACGUUACCCGCAGAAGAAGCACCGGCUAACUCCGUGCCAGCAGCCGCGGUAAUACGGAGGGUGCAAGCGUUAAUCGGAAUUACUGGGCGUAAAGCGCACGCAGGCGGUCUGUCAAGUCGGAUGUGAAAUCCCCGGGCUCAACCUGGGAACUGCAUUCGAAACUGGCAGGCUAGAGUCUUGUAGAGGGGGGUAGAAUUCCAGGUGUAGCGGUGAAAUGCGUAGAGAUCUGGAGGAAUACCGGUGGCGAAGGCGGCCCCCUGGACAAAGACUGACGCUCAGGUGCGAAAGCGUGGGGAGCAAACAGGAUUAGAUACCCUGGUAGUCCACGCCGUAAACGAUGUCGAUUUGGAGGUUGUGCCCUUGAGGCGUGGCUUCCGGAGCUAACGCGUUAAAUCGACCGCCUGGGGAGUACGGCCGCAAGGUUAAAACUCAAAUGAAUUGACGGGGGCCCGCACAAGCGGUGGAGCAUGUGGUUUAAUUCGAUGCAACGCGAAGAACCUUACCUGGUCUUGACAUCCACAGAACUUUCCAGAGAUGGAUUGGUGCCUUCGGGAACUGUGAGACAGGUGCUGCAUGGCUGUCGUCAGCUCGUGUUGUGAAAUGUUGGGUUAAGUCCCGCAACGAGCGCAACCCUUAUCCUUUGUUGCCAGCGGUUAGGCCGGGAACUCAAAGG
rnacentral:rRNA from 1 species